GUGUUACUUUAUCGUUGAGUCGGAGGACAGGAAACGACGAUUAAUGAAAGACUUGGCAGAAUUCGGGCCCUCCCCUUUUGCUGUCAGGACAGAAAUCGUUUCGAAUUGCGACGAAUUGCCAUUCCAGGGUCGGAUCGACGAGCCACCUGGUGGCCGCAUGAGUCAACUGAGCACCUAGCUACUAGUUUUUCGUUCUUGCACGUCUCGUUCUCGUUUGAAACGCUACUUUAAGAUGCUUGAACUUUGAAUUUGAAUUUAUUACUUGUUUUUGACACUCUGCUCUUUAUGAAUUUUUGAUUACCAUGCAUAAAUUUGCCACUAGUACAUGCACAACUUUUGUCAAGGUCUGCACGGAUUACAGACGAAAUUCUCAAUCAGCUGUUUUGCACAUCUUCGACGUUCUGAUUGUAAUCUUUUCUUUGUCACUUUUAAUUUUUCUCCGCCGUUUUGUUUCUUCCUUCGUUGCUUCACCUGAUUAUCACAGUUUUCAUCAACCGAAUCGUUCGUUCAUUAGAAACCCGACAUUUCUUUCAGGUCUAACAAGAGGGAUACUACGUACACAUUACGUCAUGGGCUGAUGGCAACGGUUUUCCGAUGGCAUGGCCGAGGUAUCCGACGUUUCCAGAGGGGCUAUAGCCUUGACCAGAAAACACAGUGAACGUUAAUGGAAUAAUUACGUGUCACAGCGAGUAUAACGACUAUCGUUCAAUCUCUACAGUCAAUCCAUUACUAUUUUGUUUUCUUCCUUUUUUCCUGUUUUUAUUUUUCAAUUUUCGUUUCUUUCUUGUUAUCUGAUGUUAUCUUUUGCCUUUUUUUACAUCUUCUAGUUUCUUUUGUUUGGUCUUUGUUCGCGUUCUCGCAUUUAAUAAGAGGAGUCGUUAAUGGUGUCGAACGUGCCCUCACUUUAUGCAAAUGAAGUGCAGACAAGUCGAAUACAUCGUGUGGCGGCUUGACAAGACAGGAUUCCAUUUGGUUACAAGGCAACCUCAACCGACCUCAACCAGUUCACCCUUUUUAAACAUUUCUUCUUGAAUAGUGCAUUUCAAUUUUAAGAGCCAACAACUCAACUAUGUGUCAUGUUGCAACAGUAAUAUUUUUAAAUGAUAUCUCAAAUUUUCUACUUGUUUUUUUUCCUAACCGUCACGUAUAUGCAUAAACAAAAUUGCUUGUAACAAAUCAACUUGUCGUACAUUAUCAAAGCAGAUGUGAGAUACAAAGUAACGCGUCUGACGUCUGAAUCUUUUUUUUUUUACAUAUCGAGACCUUCAUCGCCGUAGAACUGGCCAAAAUAUGGUUGGAAAUUGGAGUUGAAGUUCUUCCCGAACAUCAGAAGAAGAGAGACGAAACCAACCGAAAUGUCUGGUCGAAAUCCAUUGGAAGGCCUUGAAAAAGAUGUUCACGGACUCACUACCCUUUCUUUAAUACCGGCACCAUGUCUAUCUUAUUUUCUUUAAAGGUUUAUGUUAUUUUACAGACUUCUUUUUUUUCUUUUUUUCGUUAAACAUAAAGCAGACAAAAGUCCAUAGGGCGUCUCGUUCCAGAGUUUGCUGUAGCCGUUGCACGGUCAUUCAGGUUCGUGUCUGCAUAAUCUCUGCCGGUCUACAGUUGAACUCACAGCUAACCGUCAAAAGUUUCUCUUCUAUUUCCUAUUAUGCUGUUCUUUGUAUUUCGGUUUACCCGAGACGACGAUGUUCUAUUUGAAGACGUCCCCGAUAGAAGAGGGAAAGCCGGCAACAAAAGAUUUAUAAACGGCCAUUUUGUAUGCUUAAGGUUGCCGAGCCUGAGGUCCUCAGUGCACAGUUACGUAGCCCCGAUGUUUAUCGUCAAGGAUUUAUGGAAUCAACAUGACCGGCACGAUGAAAACGAAAUGCUUUAUUAUACUUAAAUAAACGCACCAUUGUGCACUAUAGCCGUUCUGGGAUAUUUUCAACUGAACAUGAUCUAAAGCCAAUAGCUCCAACUAGCAAAAAGAGUAUUUUGAAUGCCAACGGCUGAGGCACUACCGCACUAGGACUCGGGAAAUAUUUUUGCGUCGGGUUGGAUGACCGCAGACACAGCUUCCCGCCCAAGGUCGGCAUCAUCAGUCUUUUGACUCAACAUCGACCCCUAGCGGACACCAUGGACGAGCUAUCAAAGAGACACAAAAGAUGUAUAGACAUGCGAGGCAGCGAACGAUUGCAACAAUCCCGCCAUCGACAUUGGCCCGAGAUGCAUUCAACAACGUAUUAAACAGGGAACUCAAAACUCAGUCGCCAUUUUAACUCUUUUCUAUUUAAAACAAUUCACGACUUGUAACGACCUGAGAAAUUCAUUUUUUCUCCGCAUUAUCAGGGUUUUUUUUUCUAUAGCAAGCUGAAGUGGCUAUAAGUAAGGGUGUUUUUCUUUUUCUCACCUAAUACGAUCCCACAUAAUGGAACUUCUGAAAAUGACUGUGAGAAAAAAAAAGAAUUUAUUCAUUUGUUAAAUCUAAUCUGCAUUCUUGGGUAGAAAUCUCGGUGCCCAUUGGGGACUGUUGGUUCAAAAACUGGCGGGCUGGAGGUAUUUUUGAUUAAUGUCGUCUCACCGGCCUCAAGGUCACCUGUCCAGCAUCGUCCCUACCAAUUCCAUGCUUAAGGCUAUACUACCCUCCCUCUUCCCCACCUUUUUUUUUUUCCCGACCGCAUAUUUUGUUUCACGGUGUCCAAUGCCCGAGUGCCGUCUGGUUCCAACCUGUAGCCAAAAAGCUGGACCUGAUUGUUAUGAAGCAUAAGGUUCUCACCCCGCGCGUUAUUAUUUUGGUUCCGUACAGAUGGGGAGAAGAGCUCACAAUAUGUCUGUUGGUGGACAGGUGUGCAAACACUCAUGCAAGGCAGGCACGGUAAAUAUGAACAUUUUGUUAAACAAAAGUCAACAUUUUGCUUGAGUUCGGCUGAAAUCGGAAAAGAAUAAUAAAAGGGCCGUUUCACUUUCACCUUUUUUUUUUUUUUUUAAUCGGGUACCUUCUCUCUAUUUUCUUCCGCUAAAAAGCUCUCAUUGUUUGCGUGUCCAAAAAUAGAAAAGAAAAAAAAUAAUAAUAAAAACAACACGUAACAGAAGAAGAAAGAAGAAGAAGAAGAAGAAGAAGGAGUUCAAAACAAAAAAGGGCAAGUAACAGAAUAUUGAAAUAUAAUAUGGCUUUGAAACGGAAUAGGUAAGAAGAAUAUCUUGUUUGUUUGCUUCUUUUUUAAUGAAGAGAAUUAAGAAAGUUUCACAGAUUUGAAUGAUUUUGGAGCCAUGUUUCAAGAUCAACAAGGAUUGGAUUAAAGUGGGAGACAUAACGGAAUUGUUCUCUUUCGGCAUUCACUGUUGGUUUUCUCACGGCAUCAGUCAUUAUUGUUUUUUAAAAAAAUCUAUCUUCAUUCACCAUCAUGCAUUCGUCAUUGAUCUACACAAUACAACAUGGGGGCCAUCCGAUCCAGAGGAAGCCACAGCCGCAGGUUUGCGUCUGAGCUUCAGUACAAAUUGUAAUAAUUUUUUUUUUCAUUUGUUUUUCAUUCUCACUUAUCACCAUAACUAUUAUUUAUUCAUCAUUUUUCUUUUUUUUCCUUUUUUUUCAUUUUUUAAAACUCUUUUCUUUAAUACGGUGUUGCGAAACAAACAACUCGCACACUCAACAGUUUUUUACUCUAUAAUAAUCAUUUAAAGAUGGAAUUCAAAAUUGGCGCGUUUUACCCCUCCUCGAGUGAUUUCGUUUGAAACGUCACAGCAUACACAACAAUGAUAACAUAUCAGUUACGGAUUGAGGAUGAUCAGGAGAGGAUGCCGGACGGUUCUCCGUUCGUUUAGGCGCGUCUUAUAAUUGUAUUUAUUAGUCCCCCCCCCCUUUUCCAAGAAAAUGAAAAAAAAAUUAAAUAAAAAUAAAA
rnacentral:lncRNA from 1 species